rnacentral:rRNA from 1 species
CCAAUAGCGUAUAUUAAAGUUGUUGCAGUUAAAAAGCUCGUAGUUGAAUUUCGGGGUUAGUAAGCUGGUCGUGCCACUGGUAUGUACUGGUUUUACUGAUCUCUCCUUCUUGUAGAACCGUAAUGCCAUUAAUUUGGUGUUGCGGGGAAACAGGACUUUUACUUUGAAAAAAUUAGAGUGUUUAAAGCAGGCUAACGCUUGAAUACAUUAGCAUGGAAUAAUGAAAUAGGACGUUCGAUCCUAUUUUGUUGGUUUCUAGGAUUGACGUAAUGAUUAAUAGGGAUAGUUGGGGGAAUUAGUAUUCAAUUGUCAGAGGGGAAAUUCUUGGAUGUAUUGAAGACUAACUACUGCGAAAGCAUUUGCCAAGGAUGUUUUCAUUAAUCAAGAACGAAAGUUAGGGGAUCGAAGACGAUCAGAUAACGUCGUAGUCUUAACCAUAAACUAUGCCGACUAGGGAUCGGAUGAUGUUAAUUUUUUAAUGACUCAUUCGGCGCCUUACG